rnacentral:rRNA from 1 species
UGGGGAAUUUUGCACAAUGGGGGAGACCCUGAUGCAGCGACGCCGCGUGAUUUAGAAGGCCUUCGGGUUGUAAAAAUCUUUUCUAUGGGAAGAAAAUGACAGUACCAUAGGAAUAAGGACUGGCUAAUUACGUGCCAGCAGCCGCGGUAAUACGUAAGGUCCGAGCGUUGUCCGGAAUCAUUGGGCGUAAAGGGUACGUAGGCGGGUAAGCAAGUUAGAAGUGAAAUCCUGUAGCUCAACUACAGUAAGCUUUUAAAACUGCUCAUCUUGAGAUAUGGAAGGGAAAGUGGAAUUCCUAGUGUAGCGGUGAAAUGCGCAGAUAUUAGGAGGAAUACCGGUGGCGAAGGCGACUUUCUGGCCAUAAUCUGACGCUGAGGUACGAAAGCGUGGGUAGCAAACAGG